GUGACUAUAGCUCAGUUGGUUAGAGCGCUGGUUUGUGGUUCCAGAGGUCGCCGGUUCGAUUCCGGUUAGUCACC
rnacentral:tRNA from 1 species